UACAGAGGGUGCGAGCGUUGUCCGGAAUCACUGGGCGUAAAGGGCGCGUAGGUGGCGACCCAAGUCCAUGGUGAAAGCUCGAUGCUCAACAUCGAGUCGGCCACGGAUACUGGGUUGCUGGAGCACUGUAGAGGCAGAUGGAAUUCCGGGUGGUAGCGGUGGAAUGCGUAGAGAUCCGGAAAGAACACCGGUGGCGAAGGCGGCAUCCUGGACCGGUAUUGACGCUGAGGCGCGAAAGCUAGGGGAGCAAACGGG
rnacentral:rRNA from 1 species